GCAUUGGUGGUUCAGUGAUAGCGUGCUUGCCUUCCAUGCGGGAGACCUGGGUUUGAUUCCUGGUCAGUGCA
rnacentral:tRNA from 1 species